UACGAAGGGAGCUAGCGUUGUUCGGAAUCACUGGGCGUAAAGCGCGCGUAGGCGGAUGUGUCAGUCAGGUGUGAAAUCCCGGAGCUCAACUUCGGAACUGCCUCUGAUACAGCACGUCUUGAGUCCGGAAGAGGUGGGUGGAAUUCCUAGUGUAGAGGUGAAAUUCGUAGAUAUUCGCAAGAACACCAGUGGCGAAGGCGGCUCACUGGCCCGAUACUGACGCUGAGGCACGAAAGCGUGGGGAGCAAACAGG
rnacentral:rRNA from 1 species